GGACUACCGGGGUUUCUAAUCCUGUUUGCUCCCCACGCUGUCGCGCCUCAGCGUCAGCUACUGCCCAGCAGGCCGCCUUCGCCACCGGUGUUCUUCCGGAUCUCUACGCAUUCCACCGCUACACCCGGAAUUCCACCUGCCUCUACAGUGCUCCAGCUCCGCAGUUCGCACGGCCGACCCGGGGUUGAGCCCCGGGCUUUCACCGCACGCUUACCGAGCCGCCUACGCGCCCUUUACGCCCAGUGAUUCCGGACAACGCUCGCACCCUCUGUAUUACCGCGGCUGCUGGCAC
rnacentral:rRNA from 1 species